UAACUCAGAAAACCUGUCUGAUAGAACAGAAGCCUUCCUCACAUGCUUAGACAAUAAAUGUACCUGUAAGAUGGGAUAUAUUCGACUACACAAUGACUGUUUAAAAGAUGCUGUAGAACUUGAAAUGCCAUGUAGAAUAUCAUUGCAAUGUACUGGAACCAGUGAUGCUUCUAUCUGCCAUAGAAGGAAAUGCAGUUGUGACUUUGGUUUUGUCAAAGAAGAUAAUUAUUGUAAAAGAACAGAGAGUCAACAAGAAAUAAAAUCCCUGACCA